rnacentral:rRNA from 1 species
GUGGAUUAGAUACCCCGGUAGUCCAUGCCGUAAACGUUGGGCACUAGGUGUGGGGGCCAUUCCACGGUUUCCGCGCCGCAGCUAACGCAUUAAGUGCCCCGCCUGGGGAGUACGGCCGCAAGGCUAAAACUCAAAGGAAUUGACGGGGGCCCGCACAAGCGGCGGAGCAUGCGGAUUAAUUCGAUGCAACGCGAAGAACCUUACCAAGGCUUGACAUGUGCCGGACCGUCCCAGAGAUGGGGCUUCCCUUCGGGGCCGGUUCACAGGUGGUGCACGGCUGUCGCCAACU